UCCAAACACACCCUAGACUUCUCUUUCAGGUCAGCAUCAGCUAUCUGUUCCUUCCUUGAUCCCCUUUCUCCUAGCUUGCCCAAACCACGGAAGUCAACACAGGCAGCCGGCGGCGGCGGCGGGCGUAUCCAAGGUGCUGGACGACGACGACCUCCUCAUCAAGAUUCUCCUCCGCGUCGGCUUCCUCACCACCCUCGUCCGCUCCGCCCUCGUCUGCAAGCGCUGGCUAGGGCACGCCUCCGACCGCGCCUUCCUCCGCCGUCUCCGGGAGCUCCACCCGCCCCGCCUCCUCGGCUUCUACAUCGAGGAACUGGGGAUUCGAUCGCCAUCCUUCGUCCCGAUGCUGCCUCAGCCCCCGGAGCUCGCUGCCGUCAUCCGGCACGCAAGCUUCGUCUUGGACGCGCGAGCGUAUCGAACAUCAUCCAUGAAUGCCGGAACGGCAGCGUCUUCAUCGCCUCGUACGGCAGUGGGUGGAAAGGCUAUACAGAGCACAGCCCGCUGUCGCGGUGCCCUGAGAGAUGUGUGUCCACGAGCCACGACCCGGCCAGUGUUAUUACUGCAGGCCGGCCAUUGCUGCAGUUUCAGUCAAGCCCUCUCCAAAGAAGACCAGUUCCUUUUAGUAUGAUCUGGCCUCCCACAUUUCCUGCACUCAAGUAUGAUCCUGCAAGUAAUGCCACAUGAAGAAGAAAAACAAAACAGGAAGGUGAUGGAUGGUAUCUAUGUUGUGACUUGUGAGAAACUAGGGUGGUAUCAACGACAAGCAGUUGUGAGCUGCAUUUCCUUUAGAAGCUAGUAGCAGUUCUAGAUGUCUCUUUCGUAACUUCUAAUGGAUAAAUUCAUUAGGAAAUUACGAUGGCUAUGUAACUGGAGCAGUAUUCUUAUGCCACUCAGAUCUUCGUUUCAUGUGGUGGGAAGAAUACUUCCGGUAUGUUGACUACUUGGAUGCUUAGAUGUAAAUCAUUAGCCACGUAUUGAGCAUACUCCAUCUACGUGGCUAAUGAUUUACGUGAUCAAUCUACGUGUCCUCCUUCUACUUGUAUGUGGAUUUUAUGGACGACGACGAACUAGAACUCAUGGUGUACCUAUAUGCCCUGCAAGAUGGUUUCUGGAUCCCACAUCAUCCCUUGGCCAUAGAUCGACUCCCUCGCCCGCUAUUCGAGCCAAGGUCUGUGCUUGUCGGCAACAAAAUUUAUAUACCGGCGGGCCUGAGCGACAUCAUUGUCCAGGAUUUGAUGGCCUCGAUUCUCUUCACAAUUCAGCUUCCACAAGGCCUGGAGCAUGGUGAAAGCGGCACCGCCAUGUUGGCACGGGCUGCUGAUGCUUCCGGUGUAUAUCUCAUCCACUUGGAGGAGCUUGAACUUUACGCCUGGCUGCACAAGGGAGACAACUGGUUGCUGGUGGAUAUUAUUUGCUUGCGUGAGAUGUGUGUUAAUUUGAGGUUGUCAGAUGAGCAUACUCUUCUUCUUCUCACAAGGCAAGUGGUGGACUAUGGUGACUUUCUGUUUUUGGAGAUGGGUGGAUGCCUACUCCACUUGGAUAUCAAGUGUAGGACACUGUGUAACGUGUAUCAAACAAAAGAGGACCAUUUGAUUGGUGUCAAUCCUUUUAUGAUGAUCUGGCUUCCCACAUUUCUUGCUCUCAUUAUGAUCGAGGUUCUUCCUUUGUCCUUUAGAUGAUCUAUAUACUGUUGUUGUAAAUGUUACAUAGUUUUGCAAUUUAAAUUGUCCUUAACUCUUUAGUACAAUUGUGGAAUUGUGUUAGAUAUAUGAUUGGUUGUUCAGAAUAUUGUAACAAUACUAGUUAAGGGACUUCAGAGAAUGCUUACUGGAAAUGACUUAUUUGGUAUUGUCUGGACCAUCAUCUGUUUCAUCACUGGUUCCUAAACUAUCAGGCAUCCUUAUUUUUCAGAA